GCUACAUGAAACCCACCAGUUUAACUUCUCGUUCCUUGAACGCAGCUAAAGGCAAUCUCUUUUCACAAUCAUCCAUAAACGACCAAACUUCA